rnacentral:rRNA from 1 species
CACGUAGGGCGCAAGCGUUGUCCGGAAUUAUUGGGCGUAAAGAGCUCGUAGGCGGUCUGUUGCGUCCGCUGUGAAAACUCGGGGCUUAACCCCGAGCCUGCAGUGGAUACGGGCAGACUAGAGGUAGGUAGGGGAGAAUGGAAUUCCCGGUGUAGCGGUGAAAUGCGCAGAUAUCGGGAGGAACACCGGUGGCGAAGGCAGCUCGCUGGGACGGUACUGACGCUGAGGCGCGAAAGCGUGGGGAGCGAACAGG